rnacentral:rRNA from 1 species
ACGCGUUGGGGGCUCUCCCAUAUGGUCGACCUGCAGGCGGCCGCGAAUUCACUAGUGAUUAGAGUUUGAUCAUGGGUCAGAACGAACGCUGGCGGCAUGCCUAACACAUGCAAGUCGAACGAAGGCUUCGGCCUUAGUGGCGCACGGGUGCGUAACGCGUGGGAAUCUGCCCCUUGGUUCGGAAUAACAGUUAGAAAUGACUGCUAAUACCGGAUGACGACGUAAGUCCAAAGAUUUAUCGCCGAGGGAUGAGCCCGCGUAGGAUUAGCUAGUUGGUGUGGUAAAGGCGCACCAAGGCGACGAUCCUUAGCUGGUCUGAGAGGAUGAUCAGCCACACUGGGACUGAGACACGGCCCAGACUCCUACGGGAGGCAGCAGUGGGGAAUAUUGGACAAUGGGCGAAAGCCUGAUCCAGCAAUGCCGCGUGAGUGAUGAAGGCCUUAGGGUUGUAAAGCUCUUUUGCCCGGGAUGAUAAUGACAGUACCG